AACGUAGGACACAAGCGUUAUCCGGAGUUACUGGGCGUAAAGGGCGUGCAGGCGGUUUCUUAAGUCAGGCGUGAAACCAUUCGGCUAAACCGGGUGUAGUCGUCUGAGACUGGGAGACUAGAGUGUGGUAGAGGCGUGUAGAAUUCCGGGUGUAGUGGUGAAAUGCGUAGAUAUCCGGAGGAACACCAAUGGCGAAGGCAGCUCGCUGGGACGUUACUGACGCUGAGACGCGAAAGCGUGGGGAGCAAACAGG
rnacentral:rRNA from 1 species